CCACGUCGGCCAUGUAAUCUCUGACAACCGGGACACUUUCCUAGUGGUUGGUGUAAACCGGGACAUUUUAGCGUCCCGACAGGCUUUUGUCGGGACUCAGGACAAGCAACUUAAAAUCGGGACUGUCCCAGUCAAACCGGGACGUCUUGUCACCCUAUGUCUUCCUCGUGUCUCACUGCUGCUGUCUGUGUCUGACAGAUCCACAACCGCAGCUGCUCGUUAUCAUCUCCUUCAUCCUCAUCAUCCUCAUCAUCCUCAUUGUGGGGGUUUUCUGUUGGAAACGCUGCAGGAAGAGAAGAAAUCAAACCCAGACUCGCACAGAAGAAGAAUCAUCCUCCAUGACACCAUGAAGGAGACUGAGAGACAUCUUUUCUACUUUUAACAUGAAUUUUUAAAGUUCAUCCUGAACAGAUGUUUUUAACCAGCACUGACUACAUCUUAUGUACUGUAAUAAAGUGGAUGAGAAGAUCUAUGAACUGUGAGGGUGAUAUUUCUAUCUAUAUUCUCUUUUCUUUGACAAACAUCUUUAAACUUUUCCUUCAGCGUUAUAAGCUAUUUAGCAGUUUGAGGUAAAACUGGUCACAUUAAAUUAGCAUGAAAACAUAUCCCAGAGAACGGUCGACUCGGUACACGGUAGUGUUAUUAACCAUUAGGUAUAUUUUGCGCCAGAUUUCCCCUUUAACAUUCUCAGUUUGUUUUUAAAUGCUCAUCACACAGUGC
rnacentral:lncRNA from 1 species